rnacentral:rRNA from 1 species
GCUUGCUGGGGGGAUUAGUGGCGAACGGGUGAGUAACACGUGAGUAACCUGCCCUUGACUCUGGGAUAAGCCUGGGAAACUGGGUCUAAUACCGGAUAUGACUCCUCAUCGCAUGGUGGGGGGUGGAAAGCUUUUGUGGUUUUGGAUGGACUCGCGGCCUAUCAGCUUGUUGGUGGGGUAAUGGCCUACCAAGGCGACGACGGGUAGCCGGCCUGAGAGGGUGACCGGCCACACUGGGACUGAGACACGGCCCAGACUCCUACGGGAGGCAGCAGUGGGGAAUAUUGCACAAUGGGCGGAAGCCUGAUGCAGCGACGCCGCGUGAGGGAUGACGGCCUUCGGGUUGUAAACCUCUUUCAGUAGGGAAGAAGCCGCAAGGUGACGGUACCUGCAGAAGAAGCGCCGGCUAACUACGUGCCAGCAGCCGCGGUAAUACGUAGGGCGCAAGCGUUAUCCGGAAUUAUUGGGCGUAAAGAGCUCGUANGCGGUUUGUCGCGUCUGCUGUGAAAGACCGGGGCUCAACUCCGGUUCUGCAGUGGGUACGGGCAGACUAAAGUGCAGUAGGGGAGACUGGAAUUCCUGGUGUA